rnacentral:rRNA from 1 species
GACGAACGCUGGCGGCGUGCUUAACACAUGCAAGUCGAACGAUGAAGCCUAGCUUGCUAGGUGGAUUAGUGGCGAACGGGUGAGUAAUACGUGAGUGACCUACCUUUGACUCUGGGAUAAGCCUGGGAAACUGGGUCUAAUACCGGAUACGACCAAUCUCCGCAUGGGGUGUUGGUGGAAAGCGUUAUGGAGUGGUUUUAGAUGGGCUCACGGCCUAUCAGCUUGUUGGUGAGGUAAUGGCUUACCAAGGCGACGACGGGUAGCCGGCCUGAGAGGGUGACCGGCCACACUGGGACUGAGACACGGCCCAGACUCCUACGGGAGGCAGCAGUGGGGAAUAUUGCACAAUGGGCGCAAGCCUGAUGCAGCGACGCCGCGUGAGGGAUGACGGCCUUCGGGUUGUAAACCUCUGUUAGCAUCCAAGAAGCGAAAGUGACGGUAGGUGCAGAGAAAGCGCCGGCUAACUACGUGCCAGCAGCCGCGGUAAUACGUACGGCGCGAGCGUUGUCCGGAAUUAUUGGGCGUAAAGAGCUUGUAGGCGGUUGGUCGCGUCUGCUGUGAAGGCUGGGGCUUAACCCUGGUUUUGCAGUGGGUACGGGCUAACUAGAGUGCAGUAGGGGAGACUGGAAUUCCUGGUGUAGCGGUGGAAUGCGCAGAUAUCAGGAGGAACACCGAUGGCGAAGGCAGGUCUCUGGGCUGUAACUGACGCUGAGAAGCGAAAGCAUGGGGAGCGAACAGGAUUAGAUACCCUGGUAGUCCAUGCCGUAAACGUUGGGCACUAGGUGUGGGGGACAUUCCACGUUUUCCGCGCCGUAGCUAACGCAUUAAGUGCCCCGCCUGGGGAGUACGGCCGCAAGGCUAAAACUCAAAGAAAUUGACGGGGGCCCGCACAAGCGGCGGAGCAUGCGGAUUAAUUCGAUGCAACGCGAAGAACCUUACCAAGGCUUGACAUAUACUGGACUGCGUCAGAGAUGGCGUUUCCCUUCGGGGCUGGUAUACAGGUGGUGCAUGGUUGUCGUCAGCCCGUGUCGUGAGAUGUUGGGUUAAGUCCCGCAACGAGCGCAACCCUCGUUCUAUGUUGCCAGCACGUGAUGGUGGGGACUCAUAGGAGACUGCCGGGGUUAACUCGGAGGAAGGUGGGGAUGACGUCAAAUCAUCAUGCCCCUUAUGUCUUGGGCUUCACGCAUGCUACAAUGGCCGGUACAGAGGGUUGCGAUACUGUGAGGUGGAGCUAAUCCCUAAAAGCCGGUCUCAGUUCGGAUUGGGGUCUGCAACUCGACCCCAUGAAGUCGGAGUCGCUAGUAAUCGCAGAUCAGCAACGCUGCGGUGAAUACGUUCCCGGGCCU